GCCGGGGCGUCCCCCGCGGGAGCCCGCAGCCACCCGGGACGCGCAUCCAGACGUGGCGCUUCGGACCGGGCACGCUGCGCCCGGGGGCUCGGCGGACCCCGCGUAGCCGCCGCUUCGGAGCUUGUGCGGCGCGGGCUGGCCAGCGGGGCGGCCAGGGCCCGGCCCGCCUCCCCAGCGCCCGCCCGGCUUCUCCCCCUGGCGGUGGGAGCCUCGGCGGCCGCUGGCGACACUAGGCGCACUGAAGCCCGAGCCGAGCCGAGCCCGAGCCGCCGCCGCCGCCGCCGCUGCUGCGCACCGCUCCCGGGCUCCCUCCCAGCGCGCCGGCCGGGGUGUGGGGGGCGGCGGGCCGGAGGGGCGAGGGCGGGCCAGGGGGCGCACACGGGGGUUGGCGCGGAAGACAGGACCCUCAGCCUCGAGGGAGCCCCUAGGUGACCAGGCAAAAUGGCAGUUCCUUCCAGCUGGUCCUCAGAUGGGCACAUCUAUUAGCCUCUGCUCUUGUAAGAAGUUAGCUGCAGAACCCACAUGUGAAUCCUUGUAGGACUCUGGAGAAGAUCAAAUGGGAGCUUAGAUGUGGAAGCUCUUUGGAAACCAAGAAACACUCUGAAAAUGAAAAGGGUGGAAGAGUAAACUGUUCCUGUUUCUCCAUCUUGACAGGAAGCAGAAGUUCUCCUUAGCUGAUUUUUCUUCUUGCCUUAUACUGGGUUCUUUAACACCAGAACAAAAAUAAAUAAAUAAAAGAAUCUUCCAGAAAUUCAUGAAGAGACUUCAGGUCAGGAAAGCCUGAACUUUCUCAUCCAACACCCGUUCAAGUCGGAGGAUGCUGAUUAAUUCAUGAUGGAAAGGUAUCAAUUUCACAGCCCAGACCUCUACAUUCUUGAAAUGCUCUUCUCAUGGGAGACAUUAAAUAAGCUUUGAAUUAACUGUCAGACGUUUGCUGAAUUCAGUUCUGAGCUUUUGAACCAAAAGCAGAUCUUCAGAACAAGAAACAAGAUAAUAAAAGAGAAACAUGAAGAAACUGAAGAUGAUUGGAGAAAUAUGAAUCAAGAUGAUUAGACCUAGCAGAGGGCUGGCUGGAUGGCAUUUAUGUUGACAAUGGACUCCUACACAGAGGAUGAUCAUGGUCUAGGACAUAAUAGUCAUUCAAUCAUCAUUUCUUAAAUGAUUUUUUAAAACAAGUGAAUGAAUGACCAAUUAUAUACCUUCCCUGAGCCAAUAAAAUAUAUUAAAAGUAUAGGCCUGGGCACAGUGGCUCAUGCCUGU
rnacentral:lncRNA from 1 species